GGCGGCAUGGCCAAGCGGUAAGGCACGGGUCUGCAACACCCUCACCACCGGUUCGAUUCCGGUUGCCGCCUCCA
rnacentral:tRNA from 1 species